UGCAUAAUUUUAUUAAUAAGGUAAAUGCAUGAUGAAUCAUACAAUUCUUUACCCAGCCAACUUUUGUAGUGGCGUUUUUGUAAUUUUGAAAUAACGAGUUGCUCACUUGACUUUCUUUAUUAUACAUACAUGUAUAACAACGACAACAACCCAGUGUAAUCCCAGUUAGUGAGGUCUGGGGAGGCUAAUAUGUACGCAUACCUUACUCCUACCUUUGGGUAGAGAGGUUGUUUCAAAUAGACCCCCGGCAUUCUUCCCUCCAAGAACUUCCCACCUUGCUCUUGGGAGACUCAAACUCACAACCUCUCGGCUUAUUAUACAUACAUGUAAAUUCUGGAAAACAAGCAAAUGAAGGAAACAUUAAACAACACAGAAACCCAACUGCAUAAUGGAGAUGUGUAGAAGAGCUUGUCUCCAAUGUACACUACUUCAAUGUCAGACACAUAGGGCCACCAACUGUAGCAGAGGAUCCACAAGCGCAGCAAACCCAACAAUCGUUGCAAUCCAAGCUAGUUUCACAAGAUCUAAAACAAGUAUUGAGUUGUGGGAGUAAUCUCUUCCUCAUUCCUAAGAGAUUAUGAUCAACAUCCAGUGCAGCUCCGACUUUUGUGUUCGUCAAAAGGGUCAAAUCUGCUAUAAAUAUUCAUCAUUAUAGUAAAUUAAAAAUAAUAAUCUGAUACAACAAAAAUGACACCCAUAUAAGCGUUAUUCAGCGAAUCAGAUGUAUAUUCAUGCUUUAAUAUGAAACAUGUAAGCUGUCAUGUAUAAAUAAAAAAAGAUGUAGAUGAUAUAUAAUUAUAAUUUUGUGUUAAACAUUGGUGGUACUUACUUGUUGCCACCAUAAUGAGAAUAGCGAGAACAAAAGAAUGCUUUAGCAACAUCAUUGGAAUAGUAGUUCACACUUAUGAAUGUUUUUUUGAGUGGCUAAUUACUCCUAAAAUUUCGUAAUUUACAGACCUCCUUGAAGUCAAACUACAUCUCUUGC
rnacentral:lncRNA from 1 species